rnacentral:lncRNA from 1 species
AGCCCAGGAAUUCAAGACCAGCUUGGGAAACAUAGCAAGACCCCAAGUCUACAAAAGUUUUUGGAAAAAAAUUAGCUGGGUGUGCAGAUAUAUCUUCAGCAUACUGAUUUGCUCUAUUUUGGAUAUAUACCCAGCUGAGAGAUUGAUCAUUUGGUAGUUUUAGAUUUUGGGGGAACUUUCAUACUGUUUUCUACACUGGCUGUACUAAUUUAAUCCCCACCAACAGUGCACAAGUGUUUCCCUUUCUACACAUCCUCUCCAAUAAAGGCCACUUCAUUUUGAGCCAUUAGUGAACUGAGAGAAAACAGCAGUAUGGAGGGAGAAAGUGGAUUGUUUCCAAGAAGUAGGUGGGCAAGGAGCAAUGAAGGAAAGAUAAUACCAAGGCAAAUACCUGGAGGAUGUGAAGCCAAGAGCAUCAGAGGAGAAAAGGAAUCAUCAAGAGGUUGGUUAGUGGGUACAAACGUGCAGUUAGAAGGAAUAAGUAAUAGUGUUCCACAGCACAGUAGGGUGACUAUAGUUAACAAUAUAUAUAUUUUUUGAGACAGGGUCUCACUCUGUCACCUAGGUGGGAGUGAAGUGGUGCAAUCAUGUCUCACUGCAGCCUCAACCUCCUAAACGCAAGUGUUCCUCCUGCCUCAGCCUACCGAGUAACUGGGACCACAGCAUGUGCCCACAAAGCCCAGCUAAUUUUUUGAGUUUUUGUAGAGAUGGGGUUUCACUGUGUUGCCCUGGCUGAGCUUGAACUCCUGGGUUCUAAGUGAUUGUCCCUCCUCGACCUCCCAAAGUGCUGGGAUUACAGAUGUGAGCCACCGUGCCCAGUCAACAAUAAUUUAUUGUAUAUUUCAAAAUAUCUAGAGGAGGCUGGGCAUGGUGGCUCACACUUAUAAUCCCAGCACUUUGGGAGGCUGAGGAUUGUUUGAGGUCAGGAGUUUGAGACCAGCCUGGACAACAUAGUACGGGCCUGUCUCUACAAAAAAAGAAAAUUCAAAAACUUAGUUGGGCAUGGUGGUAUGUGCCUGUAGUCCCAGCUACUCAGGAGGCUGAGGCAUGAAGAUUGCUUGAGCCCAGAAUUUUAAGGUUGCAGUGAGCUAUGAUGGCACCACUGCACUCCAGCCUGGAUGACAGAGUGAGCCCUUGUCCUGAAAAAAAA